rnacentral:rRNA from 1 species
UACAGAGGUGGCAAGCGUUGUUCGGAAUUACUGGGCGUAAAGGGCUCGUAGGCGGCCAACUAAGUCAGACGUGAAAUCCCUCGGCUUAACCGGGGAACUGCAUCUGAUACUGGAUGGCUUGAGUUCGGGAGAGGGAUGUGGAAUUCCAGGUGUAGCGGUGAAAUGCGUAGAUAUCUGGAGGAACACCGGUGGCGAAGGCGGCAUCCUGGACCGACAUUGACGCUGAGGCGCGAAAGCCAGGGGAGCAAACGGG